AUAUACAGCCAUACUAUCCAGAAUGUGACUGAUCGCAUCUUAUCUCAGAAGCUAAGCAGGGUCAGGCCUGGUUAGUACUUAGAUGGGAGACAGUCUGGGAAUACUGGGUGCUGUAGGCU
rnacentral:rRNA from 1 species